rnacentral:rRNA from 1 species
CACGGGGGGAGCAAGCGUUGUUCGGAAUCACUGGGCGUAAAGGGCGUGUAGGCGGUUCGGUAAGUGAGAUGUGAAAUGCCUCGGCUCACCCGAGGACCUGCAUCUCAAACUGCCGGACUAGAGUAUGGGAGAGGAUGAGGGAAUUCCUGGUGUAGCGGUGAAAUGCGUAGAUAUCAGGAGGAACACCGGUGGCGAAAGCGCUCAUCUGGCCCAAUACUGACGCUGAGGCGCGAAAGCUAGGGGAGCAAACGGGAUUAGAAACCCCCGUAGUCC